rnacentral:ncRNA from 1 species
GGAUAGAGGCGCAGCUGUCAAAAGUAGCUCCCGGUGCAAGGUCUGGCCGGACCGUUGCCGGGGUGAAAGGGGCCGCUGCCGAAGGAGACGCGCGGCAUGCUUCUCCUGGGCAAACGGAUAAGAUCCGUUUGACUGUCGCAUUUGCGGAGAGCUAUGGAU